AACGAACGCUGGCGGCAUGCCUAACACAUGCAAGUCGAACGUGAUCCGGGGCUUCGGUUCCGGUGAAAGUGGCGGACGGGUGAGUAACGCGUGGGUACCUGCCCAGUGGUAGGGGAUAACCGCGGGAAACUGCGGCUAAUACCCUAUGUGCCCUGCGGGGCAAAGAUUCAUCGCCAUUGGAGGGGCCCGCGUCGGAUUAGGUAGUUGGUGGGGUAACGGCCUACCAAGCCAUCGAUCCGUAGCUGGUCUGAGAGGAUGAUCAGCCACACUGGGACUGAGACACGGCCCAGACUCCUACGGGAGGCAGCAGUGGGGAGUAUUGGACAAUGGGGGCAACCCUGAUCCAGCAAUGCCGCGUGAGUGACGAAGGCCUUAGGGUUGUAAAGCUCUUUCGGCGGGGAAGAUGAUGACGGUACCCGCAGAAGAAGCCCCGGCUAACUUCGUGCCAGCAGCCGCCGUAACAC
rnacentral:rRNA from 1 species